AAAACAGUCCCCCAUUAAAAUGCUACCUAAAUAUUUGCUUUGGAUUAAGUUCAAUUAAGAAAACUUAUUGGUUUUGGAAAUCAAAACUUAUAAUAAGUUUCAAUAAACACUUACAUUUAACUUUUGAGAAUGUCAAUAGAAGAUAGUGGUGGGUUUCGCUCGUCGGAAGAUCGGGCCACCAAAAAAGUGCGCUUUAAGGGAACAGAUGGGGAGGAAGGCGUUGAUAUGAUCGUAGAUAUGUCUCCUGAGCCAAUGCUUUCUUGGAAGGAUAGGCUUCUGGGUAGGGGAGCUCUUGGGUCUAAAAACUCAUCUGUUGAUUCGGAUAGGGGGUUUGAGGAAUAUUUUGAACUAUUGGAUAGAGAUGUCAUGAGAUCCACUGUUAAUGGAGUUCUGUCAAUAAUGUUCUCUAAUCGGGUUCAGCGAAUUCUGGUAAAGGAGAUGGCUACCAUGGUGGUUGUUAAGCUUUUGGGGGAGGAACAUUGGCUAUACCACCCUACAAAACAAGAUUUAUAAUUUAUGGCAGCCAUCCAUGCCGUUUAAACUUAUAGAUGUGGAACAUGGGUACUUUUUGGUGAAAUUCCAAAGCAACGAUGAUUCUGAAAAAGAGCUUACACAAGAGCCAUGUGUUGUGUUCGGACAAUAUUUAACCGUUCAACCGUGGAUGCCAGAUUUUAAUCCCUUGCAACUAUUUCCAAAUGUUGUUAUGACGUGGAUUAGAUUGCCAGGUUUGCUGGGGUUU
rnacentral:lncRNA from 1 species